CAUCGAAGAUGACAAAUCCAAAGGCUUGUUUCUCAAAACAUUUGCAGUGGCCACCUGAGGGUUUUCGCCUCGCCGGGCUUGAGAGCCUUUGCUGCUCAAUCCUUUCUCAGAUGUCUAAGAUU